UAGAGUUUGAUCAUGGCUCAGAUUGAACGCUGGCGGCAGGCCUAACACAUGCAAGUCGAGCGGUAACAUGUCUAGCUUGCUAGAUGAUGACGAGCGGCGGACGGGUGAGUAAUGCUUGGGGAUCUGCCUUAGAGUGGAGGAUAACCAUUGGAAACGAUGGCUAAUACUGCAUAGUAUCUGCGGAUUAAAGGGGGCUUAGGCUCUUGCUUUAAGAUGAACCCAAGUGGGAUUAGCUAGUUGGUGAGGUAAUGGCUCACCAAGGCGACGAUCCCUAGCUGGUCUGAGAGGAUGAUCAGCCACACUGGAACUGAGACACAGUCCAGACUCCUACGGGAGGCAGCAGUGGGGAAUAUUGCACAAUGGGCGAAAGCCUGAUGCAGCCAUGCCGCGUGUGUGAAGAAGGCCCUAGGGUUGUAAAGCACUUUCAGUCAGGAGGAAAGGUUAGUAGUUAAUACCUGCUAGCUGUGACGUUACUGACAGAAGAAGCACCGGCUAACUUCGUGCCAGCAGCCGCGGUAAUACGAGGGGUGCAAGCGUUAAUCGGAAUUACUGGGCGUAAAGCGAGCGUAGGCGGCUGAAUAAGCUGGAUGUGAAAAACCGGGGCUCAACCUCGGCCGUGCAUUCAGAACUGUUUAGCUAGAGUCCUGUAGAGGGGGGUAGAAUUUCA
rnacentral:rRNA from 1 species